rnacentral:lncRNA from 10 species
CGACAGGGCAAGGGCAAGACUCCAUCUCAAAAAAAGAAGAAAAGAAAAUACUGCAGAGGGGAUUAGACAAGGGAAGAGCAUGUCUAGUCAGGUGGAUGCGUUAGCGAUUGCUACCAACCUAUUACAUCAUUAAUAAUUAUCAAACCGGCAGUGGCACACAACAGUAAGCAUGUAUUCUCCCUGAGCUGCAGGCUGGCCAGCUCCAAGGCGGCUGCGGCUGUUGUUUCUCAUGGCGUCUGUGCAUUGCUGGGUGGUUCUGACCCACAUCUUUCAUCCUUUUUCCGCUGGCCAGGACAUGUCCUUUUCCUGCGUGGCAAGUGGACACCUGCAAAGCCUCUUAGGACAUGCCCAAAGUGACAGCUCACACGGAGAUCCAGGACAGGACAUCAGAAGAUAACUCCCCAGGCAUUUCACCACCCAAAAGGAAAAACCUGAAGACACAGACCCAGGAGUUUCCCAACAAAGGGCCCAUCAGGAUCACCUUACACUGAAACUCAAAGUUGACGUGCCUCACUUACCUACUCAGAGUUUCCAAUUAGUAUUUUGUUUCCUUCCCAUCCACCACUACAUUUAAU